UAUAUGUGUUGUAUAGAUAGAUACUAGUGUUGAACCCGUGUUUCGCUGCGGGCAAUUUUGAGGCUAAUAUUUUGAUGUAAAUUUUAAAACAGUUUUGACGCUAAUAUUUUGAUGUGAAUUUUAUCAUAUAUAAAAAAUAGAAAAUAUAUGAAACGACAACAAAAUAUGUAAAUUUUAGCUUGAAUGGCUAGUAAUAAUUUAAUAUAUAUUUUGAAAUGAUAAUAAAAUAUGUAAUUAUAUAAUAUGCAAACAUAUAUUUAAAAGUUAAAAUAAAUGUACAAUGUGAAAUUGUCACCCUAUUUGGAGAACAUAUGAAAACUAAUAAAUUGGACAGUAAUUAUAAAUGGAGUAAUAAUAGUAACUAAUAAACUUCAUGCAAAAGACUAUUUUACUAUUAUAAAAUUAAUUAAUCAACAAUAUUAAUCGUCAUUUCAAUCUCUAAAUUACAUAGUUUUAAACCACAAUGAUCAAAAUACAUAUUCAAAUAGAACAAAAAUACAAAUUUGAAAUGAGUUGACAUAGUUUUGAAAAGGACAACACAAAAAGGUAUACAGCAGAAUAUAUGAAAUCUAAAAGCCAAAA
rnacentral:lncRNA from 1 species